CUAUUUGAAACUGUGAUGUAUAUUAUCUCUCUAGCUGUUAAACAGCUAUCCAUGUUGUUGAAAGUGAGUCAGUAUUGAUCUGCACACAGUUAUCAGUUCACCAAUAAAAUAAUUUUAGUGAUC